CCUACGGGAGGCUGCAGUAGGGAAUAUUGCUCAAUGGGGGAAACCCUGAAGCAGCAACGCCGCGUGGAGGAUGAAGGUUUUCGGAUUGUAAACUCCUUUUGUUAGAGAAGAUAAUGACGGUAUCUAACGAAUAAGCACCGGCUAACUCCGUGCCAGCAGCCGCGGUAAUACGGAGGGUGCAAGCGUUCCUCGGAAUCACUGGGCGUAAAGAGCGCGUAGGCGGGAUAGCAAGUCAGAUGUGAAAUCCUAUGGCUUAACCAUAGAACUGCAUUGGAAACUGUUAUUCUAGAGUAUGGGAGAGGUAGGUGGAAUUCUUGGUGUAGCGGUAAAAUGCGUAGAGAUCAAGAGGAAUACUCAUUGCGAAGGCGACCUGCUAGAACAUAACUGACGCUGAUGCGCGAAAGCGUGGGGAGCAAACAGGAUUAGAUACCCUUGUAGUC
rnacentral:rRNA from 1 species